rnacentral:rRNA from 1 species
GACGAACGCUGGCGGCGUGCCUAAUACAUGCAAGUUGAGCGCUGAAGGUUGGUACUUGUACCAACUGGAUGAGCAGCGAACGGGUGAGUAACGCGUGGGGAAUCUGCCUUUGAGCGGGGGACAACAUUUGGAAACGAAUGCUAAUACCGCAUAAAAACUUUAAACACAAGUUUUAAGUUUGAAAGAUGCAAUUGCAUCACUCAAAGAUGAUCCCGCGUUGUAUUAGCUAGUUGGCGAGGUAAAGGCUCACCAAGGCGAUGAUACAUAGCCGACCUGAGAGGGUGAUCGGCCACAUUGGGACUGAGACACGGCCCAAACUCCUACGGGAGGCAGCAGUAGGGAAUCUUCGGCAAUGGACGAAAGUCUGACCGAGCAACGCCGCGUGAGUGAAGAAGGGUUUCGGAUCGUAAAACUCUGUUGGUAGAGAAGAACGUUGGUGAGAGUGGAAAGCUCAUCAAGUGACGGUAACUACCCAGAAAGGGACGGCUAACUACGUG